rnacentral:lncRNA from 1 species
GCCCCCCUGCCCACUUGCCUCUGCCCCCCAGACAAGCCGCCCCUGAACAACGCAGUGGCCACAGCCCCCCCACUGGGGCGGCCCCACAGCCACAGCAAGCGCCUGCCGCUGGCCAGCAGCCUGGCCCUGCCGGCCCCUGCCUACGCCGCCUACGCCGCCCUCAAGGCUGGAGGUGAGUGCUGCUGCUGCGUGGGCCGGGAUGGCGGCUGGGGUGGGACGUGCUCCGUGGAGCCCGCGGGCAGGUGGGGAGGGGCGGUGGUCUCGCAGAGGGGCGCGGGCAGGACCAGCACCCCCGUCUCCCAGGGCGGCUGCUCACGGCAGAGGCUCUGCACUGCCCCGCCGGCCGGCUGCAAUGCCCGGCCAACUGGUGACCAGGAUCCCCUGUGGAUCCGCUGCACUCCCCAGCCAGUCAGAGCUCAGGAUACCCCCACGAAUCCACUGUACUCCCCAGCCAAGCAGGGCUCAGGAUCCCCCUGUGGAUCCGCUGCACUCCCCAGCCAGUCAGAGCUCAGGAUACCCCCAGGAAUCCACUGCACUCCCCAGCCAGUCAGAGCUCAGGAUCCCCCUGUGGAUCCGCUGUACUCCCCAGCCAGUCAGAGCUCAGGAUCCCCCUAUGGAUCCGCUGCACUCCCCAGCCAGUCAGAGCUCAGGAUCCCCCUGUGGACCCGCUGCACUCCCCAGCCAGUCAGAGCUCAGGAUACCCCCAGGAAUCCACUGUACUCCCCAGCCAGUCAGAGCUCAGGAUCCCCCUGUGGACCCGCUGCACUCCCCAGCCAGUCAGAGCUCAGGAUCGCGUUCGGACACACUGCACUGAUCUCCCCGAACCCUACGGCACUCCCUGGCCAACCCGCAGCCGAGAUCCCCCCGCUCCCCAGCCAAUCGGCGCCCGGGAUCCCCCCACGCCGGCGUCGUCGUCCCCGGGGGGUGACGCCCCACCCCUGUCCCCACAGAGUGCGCCCCCGAGGACGCCUGCAGGCGGUUCGGGGGGCCGGAGGUGCCCCCCGCCGGCGCCCUGCCCUUCCCGCCCGCCGAGCCCCCCGAGGGCUGCCCCCUGCCCGCCGCCAAGGCCAAGGGCCCCAAGCUGCCGGGGGGCCCGGCCUUCCCGGGGGGCUGGGAGGGGGGCGCCCCCCGCGGCCCCCGCCGGCCCGGCCUGGCCGCCCUGCGCCCCGAGGGGCCGCCCGAGGCCUUCGGCCCCGCCGCCCCGCUGUACGGCCAGCCCGCCCGGCACCUCGCCACCAACAGCAAGACCGAGGUCACCGUCUGACGGCCGGCGCCAUCGGGGGACCGGGGCUGUCCGCUCGCCCGAGCGUCGCUGACGGCCUCCCCCGGGCCUGGACCCGCUGGAGCAAAGCAUCGAGACGGCCGGUCGUGGUGGGAGACGCGCCGUCCGUCCUCUCCCGGGGAUGGGGGCUGCUGGCUGCGCUCCACCGUCGAGGAGGCACCGUGGGCCAGGCCGUCCCUCUCGUCUGGGCAACAAGUUUCAGCCGUUCUCGGCCCAUCCCAUGA